rnacentral:rRNA from 1 species
AGGAUGAACGGGUUGCAAUAAAAUGGUGGCUGCGACUGUUUAAUAAAAACACAGCACUCUGCAAACACGAAAGUGGACGUAUAGGGUGUGACGCCUGCCCGGUGCUGGAAGAUUAAAUGAUGGGGUGCAAGCUCUUGAUUGAAGUCCCAGUAAACGGCGGCCGUAACUAUAACGGUCCUAAGGUAGCGAAAUUCCUUGUCGGGUAAGUUCCGACCUGCACGAAUGGCGUAACGAUGGCCACACUGUCUCCUCCCGAGACUCAGCGAAGUUGAAAUGUUUGUGAUGAUGCAAUCUACCCGCGGCUAGACGGAAAGACCCCAUGAACCUUUACUGUAGCUUUGCAUUGGACUUUGAAUCAAUCUGUGUAGGAUAGGUGGGAGGCUUUGAAGCAGACACGCUAGUGUUUGUGGAGCCAACCUUGAAAUACCACCCUGGUUCAUUUGAGGUUCUAACCUUGGUCCGUUAUCCGGAUCGGGGACAGUGCAUGGUAGGCAGUUUGACUGGGGCGGUCUCCUCCUAAAGUGUAACGGAGGAGUUCGAAGGUACGCUAAUUACGGUCGGACAUCGUGAUGAUAGUGCAAUGGCAUAAGCGUGCUUAACUGCGAGACCGACAAGUCGAGCAGGUACGAAAGUAGGACAUAGUGAUCCGGUGGUUCUGUAUGGAAGGGCCAUCGCUCAACGGAUAAAAGGUACUCUGGGGAUAACAGGCUGAUUCCUCCCAAGAGUUCAUAUCGACGGGGGAGUUUGGCACCUCGAUGUCGGCUCAUCACAUCCUGGGGCUGUAGCCGGUCCCAAGGGUAUGGCUGUUCGCCAUUUAAAGUGGUACGUGAGCUGGGUUUAAAACGUCGUGAGACAGUUUGGUCCCUAUCUGCCGUGGGCGUUGGAAAUUUGAAGGGGGCUGCUCCUAGUACGAGAGGACCGGAGUGGACGAACCUCUGGUGUACCGGUUGUCACGCCAGUGGCAUUGCCGGGUAGCUAAGUUCGGAAGAGAUAACCGCUGAAAGCAUCUAAGCGGGAAACUUGCCUUGAGAUGAGAUUUCCCAGAGCCUUGAGCUCUUUAAAGGGUCGUUCGAGACCAGGACGUUGAUAGGCUGGGUGUGGAAGUGCAGUAAUGCAUUAAGCUAACCAGUACUAAUUGCCCGUACGGCUUGUCCCU